GGGUGAUUAUUUCUGAUGACUUAAAGGUAGGCAGACAAUGUAAUAGAGCAGCAGGAAAUGCUAGCAGAAUGCUUGGUUGUAUAGGGAGAGGUAUUAGCAGUAGAAAGAGGGAAGUGCUCAUGCCAUUGUACAGAACACUGGUGAGACCUCACUUGGAGUAUUGUACACAGUACUGGAGACCGUAUCUCCAGAAGGAUAUUGAUACCUUAGAGAGGGUUCAGAGAAGGGCUACUAAACUGGUUCAUGGAUUGCGGGAUAAAACUUACCAGGAAAGGUUAAAGGAUCUUAACAUGUAUAGCUUGGAGGAAAGACGAGACAGGG